CACAAGUAUGGUCCCCGCUUUCAUAUCAGCUCUAACUAUAUUUACACAUGCAAGUAUCCGCAUCCCAGUGAGAAUGCCCUCAACACCCAACCGGAUUAGAGGAGCAGGUAUCAGGCACGCACAACGCAGCCCAUAACGCCUUGCUUAGCCACACCCCCAAGGGUAUCCAGCAGUGAUUAACAUUAAACAUUAGCGAAAGCUCGAUUUAGUUAAAGUUAAGAGAGUCGGUAAAACUCGUGCCAGCCACCGCGGUUAUACGAGAGACUCAAGUUGAUACUUACGGCGUAAAGCGUGAUUAUAGGAUACUACAAAACUAAAGUCAAACCCACUCAAAGCCGUUAUACGCCCAUCGAGAAGAGUAAGCCCAAAAACGAAAGUAACUUUAACAAAAUUCACCUAGACCACACGACAGCUGGGAAACAAACUGGGAUUAGAUACCCCACUAUGCCCAGUCAUAAACCUUGAUAAUAAUGUACAAAUAUUAUCCGCCAGGGAACUACAAGCGCAUUGCUCGAAACCCAACGGACUUGGCGGUGCCCCACACCCACCUAGAGGAGCCUGUUCUAUAACUGACACUCCCCGUUUAACCUCACCAUCCCUAGCCAAAUCAGUCUAUAUACCACCGUCGCAAGCUCACCCUAUGAAGGACCAACAGUAAGCAAAAUGGGCACAACCCAGCACGUCAGGUCGAGGUGUAGCACAUGGGAUGGAAAGAAAUGGGCUACAUUCUCUGCCUAACAGAGUACACGAACACUACCAUGAAACUGGAAAUUGAAGGAGGAUUUAGCAGUAAAAAGAAAAUAGAGAGUUCUUUUGAAGCUGGCCCUGGGGCGCGCACACACCGCCCGUCACUCUCCACUACAACUAUUUUCUACAGGAAAAUACCAAAACAAAACUUAAUAAUACAAAUUCAACAAAACCAGUGGAGACAAGUCGUAACACGGUAAGUGUACCGGAAGGUGCACUUGGAACAAU
rnacentral:ncRNA from 1 species